GACGAACGCUGGCGGCGUGCCUAAUACAUGCAAGUCGAGCGAAGUUUUUCUGGUGCUUGCACUAGAAAAACUUAGCGGCGAACGGGUGAGUAACACGUAAAGAACCUGCCUCAUAGACUGGGACAACUAUUGGAAACGAUAGCUAAUACCGGAUAACAGUAUUUCUCGCAUGAGAGAUAUUUAAAAGUUGGUUAUGCUAACACUAUGAGAUGGCUUUGCGGUGCAUUAGCUAGUUGGUGGGGUAAAGGCCCACCAAGGCGACGAUGCAUAGCCGACCUGAGAGGGUGAUCGGCCACACUGGGACUGAGACACGGCCCAGACUCCUACGGGAGGCAGCAGUAGGGAAUCUUCCGCAAUGGGCGAAAGCCUGACGGAGCAACGCCGCGUGAGUGAAGAAGGAUUUCGGUUCGUAAAGCUCUGUUGUUAGGGAAGAAUGGAUAUGUAGUAACUCUACAUGUAAGAGACGGUACCUAACCAGAAAGCCACGGCUAACUACGUG
rnacentral:rRNA from 1 species